ACUCCUCGCCAACUCCAUUCUCCGGUAUCCCUUCUCGCACUGUUCCAUUGACUCCCAGGCGGGCUCUGGCACUCUCCCUGGGUCAACCGACCACCUCUCUACCUCCUCCCAUGUUGUCACUGGUUCACACCUAGACUCCGCCGACCCCCCCAAAAAAAAAAACAUUCGGGCAGUUUUUCGGGCUUCCCUUGUGGCCGCGAACCCUGGCGGCGUCGCUGUUCUCCCUUCUCUCCUUGCGUCUGCUGUGACUCCUGCCAAGGAAGGAUCUCUUGUCCUUUCAUUAUUUCCUCCCAGGUCCAACCUAUUUUCCCCAUUGUAGCAUGCUGCUUGGUCCUGGUGUGGUGUGAUAUUCUGUCACGAUCGUUGGAAGCAUAAUCGGACCAAAGUGCAGCGUGAUCUGGUUUUCCACAUCUUUUUUAUUUAAAGUAAGUGAACCACACAAUAAAGAAUAAACUAACUGUGACGACAAUGGAGUGCUAACAUGUAACUACACAAACAAUAUCCCACAAACACAUGUGGAAGAAAUGCCACUUAAAUAUGAUCCCCAAUUAGAGACAACGAUUACCAGCUGCCUCUAAUUGGGAUUCAUACCAAUCACCAACAUAGAAAAACAAAACUAGAACCUCUCAUAGAAAUAAUAAACUAGACUAAGCCCCAGUCACGCCCUGACCUACUCUACCAUAGAAAAUAAGGGCUCUCUAUGGUCAGGACAUGACAAGGUCUCUCAACUCAACAUGUAUUUAAUGAUCACAUGACUACAAGUGAAGAGAAAGCCAGUAUUUUCAAUGCGGCAUUGUAAGCAUAUUUCAGGCAUGAGAACAUUUUGGCUGAGAAUGUGUUUUUUUAAAUGAUGGAUUUACAUUUCCAAUAGCAUUGUGUGGAUUUGAGAAAGAACUAGUCAGUCAGUGAUCCCAAUGAUAAAACUUAGAAGAAAGUAUUUUCAAUGAAUUUAACAUAUUUUUUUAUCCCUGCUUAGAUUGGUUUCUCAUAUAACCGGAGAAGGCUGUUUUGAGACUUCAGUGUGUGUCUGUGUGAAACAGUCUGUCCUUGCCACCCCGUCCCUCAAACUGGUUUAUUAGAGUGAGCAGCAAAGCACCCCGACAACAUGAUGCUGCCACCCCCGUGCUUCACGGUUGGAAUGGUGUUCUUCGGCUUGCAAGCAUCCCCCUUUUUCCUCCAAACAUAACGAUGGCCAUUAUGGCCAAACAGUUCUAUUUUUGUUUCAUCAGAGCAGAGGACAUUGCUCCAAAAAGUAUGAUCUUUGUUCCCAUGUGCAGUUGAAAACCGUAGUCUGACUUUUUUAUGGCGGUUUUGGAGCAGUGGCUUCUUCCUUGCUGAGCGGCCUUUCAGGUUAUGUCGGUAUAUGACUCGUUUUACUGUGGGUAUAGAUACAUUUGUACCUGUUUCCUACAGCAUCGUCACAAGGUCCUUUGCUGUUGUUCUGGGAUUGAUUUGCACUUUUCACACCAAAGUACGUUCAUCUCUAGGAGACAGAACGCGUCUCCUUCCUGAGCGGUAUGACGGCUGCGUGGUCCCAUGGUGUUUCUACGUGCAUACAAUUGUUUGUAGAGAUGAACGUGGUACCUUCAGGCGUUUGGAAAUUGUUCCCAAGGAUGAACCAGACUCUACAAUUUAUUUUCUGAGGUCUUGGCUGAUUUAUUUUGAUUUUCCCAUGAUGUCAAGCAAAGAGGCACUGAGUUUGAAGGUACAUCCACAGAUAUACCUCCAAUUGACUCAAAUUAUGUCAAUUAGCCUAUUCGAAGCAUCUAAAGCCAUGACAUCAUUUUCUGGAAUUUUCCAAUCUGUUUAAAGGCACAGUCACCUUAGUGUAUGUAAACUUCUGACCCACUGGAAUUGUGAUACAGUGAAUUAUAAGUGAAAUAAUUUGUAUGUAAACAAUUGUUGGAAAAAUUACUUGUGUCAUGCACAAAGUAGAUGUCCUAACCGACUUGCCAAAACUAUAGUUUGUUAACAAGAAAUGUGUGGAGUGGUUGAAAAACGAGUUUUAAUGACUCCAACUUAAGUGAAUGUAAACUUCCAACUUCAACUGUAACUACUCAAUGGUCUGGUUACCUGGACACAUUACUGGAGAAUCUCUAUUGCAUUUUAGUCCAGGACUGAGCUUAAUCUGUGCCUGUCAAACUGGCCCAAUAUCAGCUGUUAACAACAUUAUGAGGUUAUGAUCUGUAGGCUUUUCCUCUGUUGUAAAGACAGUUGGGGGGAAAGAGAGAGAGAAGGUUUCUGUCAAACAGGCAGCAAUCUGAGCCAACCACAGUUGACAUGUGCCAGUCAGGGGGCAUGGGAUGAAACAGAGACACAAGUGGCUGAGAUGAGGCCUCCACAGGUACUCAAAUAUCCUCCUGACAUUAACAGGCUGACCAUGAGAAUAUCCCUUCUCUGUUUCCCCGUACACACACACACACACGUAUGUGCACAAACGAGCAUACACACUCAAGAGGAGUGUGUGGAGGAGGGAGCAGACAGACAGUAUAUGACAGCAUACACAACUCAAAAUUACUUUUUGAUUGACAGGCAUGGGCCAAUAGUGGGCAGUUGGCUGGAGUGAGUGUUAUUACCUCUCUCUCUCUCUCUCUCUCAAUUCAAAUUAAGUGCUUUAUUGGCACGGAAAACACAUGUUAACAUUGCCAAAGCAAGUGAAAUAGAUAAUAAACAAAAGUGAAAUAAACAAUACAAAUGAACAGUGAACAUUAGACUCCCAGAAGUUCCAAAAGAAUAAAGACAUUUCAAAUGUCAUAUUAUGUCUAUACACAGUGUUGUAAUGAUGUGCAAAUAGUUCUAAUACAAAAGAGAAAAUAAAUAAACAUAAAUAUAGGCUGAAUUUACAAUGGUGUUUGUUCUUCACUGGUUGCCCUUUUUUUGUGGCACCAGGUCACACAUCUUGCUGCUGUGAUGGCACACUGUGGUAUUUCACCCAGUAGAUAUGGGAGUUUAUCAAAAUCGUGAUUGUUUUUAAAAUCUUUGUGGAUCUGUGUAAUCUGAGGGAAAUAUGUGUCUCUAAUAUGGUCAUAUAUUUGGCAGGAGGUUAGGAAGUGCAGCUCAGUUUCCACUUAAUUUUGUGGGCAGUGUGCACAUACAGUAGCAGGUCUUCUCUUGAGAGCCAGGUCUGCCUACGGCGGCCUUCCUCAAUAGAAAGGCUAUGCUCACUGAGUCUGUACAAAGCUUUCCUUAAGUUUGGGUCAGGUAUUCUGCCACUGUGUACUCUCUGUUUAGGGCCAAAUAAAAUUAUAAUUUGCAAGUU